rnacentral:rRNA from 1 species
GACGAACGUUGGCGGCGUGCUUAAUACAUGCAAGUCAACUGAAGCAGUGGUAGCAAUAUCGCUGUGGAGGUGGCGCACGGGUGAGUAACACGUAGGUAAUCUGCCUUCAGGUCUGGCAUAACUCCGGGAAACCGGGGCUAAUAGCAGAUGAUGCAGCGGCUCGACAUCGAGACAGUUGUUAAAGCUAUGGCGCCUGAAGAUGAGCCUGCGUCUGAUUAGCUAGUUGGCGGGGUAACGGCCCACCAAGGCAACGAUCAGUAGCUGGUCUGAGAGGAUGAUCAGCCACACUGGAACUGAGACACGGUCCAGACUCCUACGGGAGGCAGCAGUAAGGAAUAUUGCUCAAUGGGAGAAAUCCUGAAGCAGCAACGCCGCGUGAGGGACGAAGGGCUUUUGCAUGUAAACCUCUGUAGUGAGAGAAAAAAAUCCCAAUCUUUGGGACAUGAUGGUAUCUCAAAAGUAAGCCCCGGCUAACUACGUG